rnacentral:ncRNA from 2 species
AACUCAUCACGAGCGGUGGAGGGAACGCGCCCUAUGAAACCGCGGCAACCCCCGGAGCCCCGGGACGGUGCCAAGUCCGGCAGAGGGAAUCUCUGAUAGAUGAGAA